GUUCCUGGCUCAGGAUGAACGCUAGCGGCAGGCUUAACACAUGCAAGUCGAGGGGCAGCAUAAUGGAUAGCAAUAUCUAUGGUGGCGACCGGCGCACGGGUGCGUAACGCGUAUGCAACCUACCUUUAACAGGGGGGAUAACACUGAGAAAUUGGUACUAAUACCCCAUAAUAUCAUAGAAGGCAUCUUUUAUGGUUGAAAAUUCCGAUGGUUAGAGAUGGGGCAUGCGUUGUAUUAG
rnacentral:rRNA from 1 species